AAUUAUUAUUAGAUUUUUAAAUAAUUAUUCACGAAAUAAAUUGAGCUAAAUUUUUGGUAUUUUUGGAAAUUAUAACUAUAUGUUACAAAAUAUAUUAACUAAAUAGAUUUAGGGGUGAAAGGCCUAUCAAAUUUUAUGAUAUCUUGAAGUAUAUAAAAUAUAUCAAGUAUUUCUAAUUCAACUAUUGAAUGUUUAGGUUCAAUAGUAACAUUAUAUUUUUUAAAAAUUGUUCAAUUUUUUUAAGUAAAAUUGAGUUAGAGCAUAAAAUAUACAUCAAAUUUUUAUUAUAUGAAUAUAAAUAUACUACGGUUAUUAAUAAAUAUAAUCAUAUAUAAUGUAAUUAUUAGUAAUAGUUUAUUAAACUAUAUAAAGGAAUUCGGCAAGAAAAUUUUUCACCUGUUUAUCAAAAACAUAGCUUAUUGAAUAUCAUAAUAAGUAACCCCUGCUCAAUGGAAAUCUAAAUAGCCGCAGUACCUUGACUGUGCAAAGGUAGCAUAAUCAAUUGGCUUAUAAUUGAAGUCUGGAAUGAAUGGGUAAUCUGGAAAAUAACUGUCUUUAUUUGUAGUAUUUUGAAUUUACUUAUAAAGUGAAAAUACUUUAAUAUAAAUAUAAGACGAGAAGACCCUAGAAAUUUUUUGUUAAUAACUUUUGUUGGGGCGACAGGGUAACAUAUAAACUUACUUACAUUUAUAUAAAUCUUAUAAGGUACGUAACUAAAUUACUCUAGGGAUAACAGCAUAAUAUAUAAAAGUUUAUGACCUCGAUGUUGGACUAGGUAAUUAAAUAUUUAAAAGAUAUCUUAAUUUGCUCUGUUCGAGCAGUAUCACCUACAU
rnacentral:rRNA from 1 species